AACAAACGCUGGCGGCGUGCCUAAUACAUGCAAGUCGAACGGGGAAAGCUUUCGGGUGAGUACUAGUGGCGCACGGGUGAGGAACGCGUGGAUAAUCUGCCUUAGAGUGGGGGAUAACUAGUCGAAAGAUUAGCUAAUACCGCAUAAGACCACAGGAGCUGCGGCUCAAGGGGUCAAAGGUUUUUCGCUCUAAGAUGAGUCCGCGUCAGAUUAGCUAGUUGGUGAGGUAACGGCUCACCAAGGCGACGAUCUUUAACUGGUCUGAGAGGAUGAUCAGUCACACUGGAACUGAGACACGGGCCAGACUCCUACGGGAGGCAGCAGUAGGGAAUAUUGCACAAUGAAGGAAACUCUGAUGCAGCGACGCCGCGUGAGUGAUGAAGGCCUUCGGGUCGUAAAGCUCUGUCGCAGGGGAAUAACACAAUGAAUGUACCCUGUAAGAAAGGAUCGGCUAACUUCGUGCCAGCCGCCGCCGUAACAC
rnacentral:rRNA from 1 species